UACGAAGGGAGCUAGCGUUGUUCGGAAUCACUGGGCGUAAAGCGCACGUAGGCGGAUGUGUCAGUCAGGGGUGAAAUCCCGGAGCUCAACUUCGGAACUGCCUUUGAUACAGCACGUCUUGAGUCCGAUAGAGGUGGGUGGAAUUCCUAGUGUAGAGGUGAAAUUCGUAGAUAUUAGGAAGAACACCGGUGGCGAAGGCGGCCCACUGGAUCGGUACUGACACUGAGGAGCGAAAGCGUGGGGAUCAAACAGG
rnacentral:rRNA from 1 species